AGGGUGGGGCGGCGGGGGU
rnacentral:misc_RNA from 1 species